rnacentral:lncRNA from 1 species
AAAUGAUAAUUAAAUAAUGAAAAUAAUCACUUCCUAACCACUACUCACGUCUUCCCAUUUCUUCUCUUUUCUCGUUAAUAUAUAUAUAUAUAUAUAUAUAUAUAUAUAUAUCUAACAACCAAAUCAAUCACUCACCUACACCUACCAAAAAUCUUGCACGUGAAUCCUCCAAAUACAAUACAUACUUAAAUUAAAAAAAAUGAUAAUAAUAAUAAUAAUAGUAAUUUAAAGCUAAAUCUUUCGACCUCAAUAACUUAGGCUCCGUUAGUCCAAAUUAACUUUUUCUCGAGCCUAAUAUGCAUCUUUAAUUACGGCCUAUCUAAGGAGCCCAAUAUUCAUAUGCUUAUUAUCGCUCCGUCAACAUCUACAUUUUAACCCGAAUAAAAUUAAAUUUUACUUUGUAUAUAUUUUAGUCCUAAACUUUUAAAAUAUUAAAACUUAGCAUACAUAAAUCAAAUUUUAUUCUAUGAAAUUUCGGGUUACUACA